GCAGAGCUGAAUUUUCAAAUAAUUUUCGUAUCUUGCCUGUUCAGGUAUCGUUCUCUUCUUUUGGACAGAAAGAAUAGAAAUAAUUGCCCUGAUACCUUGGAGAGUAGUUGAUAGAAUGAAUCCACAGCGUCCUCCUUGGGGAGGUGGGAGACCCGAUUUUAUUCCUCCUCCAAGAUUUCCUCCAAGAUUUGUACCACCUGGCCAAGGCCACUUUGGACCAAGGCACCCUCCUCCCCCUCAAGGUUUUCCCCCAAGACAACAAUUUGGGCAACGGAAUCCAGAUUUCCAGAACCAAUGGAGACCAAGACCUAGCUACCAUCAACCACGUCCCAAUCGGCCUCCAUUUCAAUCACCACAAAGAAUGCCAAACCAGAGUGUUUCACAUAGACCGGAAAUGGGCUCAUGGCGGCGUGGUGGUAGAGGAUCAGGCGGAGGCAGAGGCAGAGGAGGCCACUCAGGUGGCUUUAACGCUGGCCAGCCUGCCUCCGGCUACUUCAACCACAGCAUGGUCGAGGAUCCCUGGGCGUCGUUGAUGACCAGUGCUGACCGGCAAGCAGAAAGCGAGUGGAGACAGAAGCGGUGGAGUCAUGAAAGUAAGAAGUCCUGUGACUUGAAAACAACCAGCAGUGCAGGUACAUAGCACGUAUGAUAGAAGUCCGAUGGACGGCGUAGCAAUAAUUUCUAGGUUGACAACAGUUUUAAUAGAACCACAGACCUACGCUUUUUAGAGUGUCUCGAUCUUCGUACAGCAUUGUGGGUGGUCAACUUUUUUUUUAUCCCCCCUGCACCAAAAAUCCUCAUCUCAUCACUAGGUGUGUUUAUUACUUCAUUGCAAAAGCAUUGUACUUCAAAGUUCUUGAAACUUGUACCGAUAUUUAGUUUUAUUUACUGUGCUACUCUAUUGUACAUACCAUUGACCGUUACAGUUGUUCAUGUGCAUGUUUGUUGACCCUUGUUGCUAGUGCUGUUACGUUUCCCUGCUGCUUGUUCAUAUGCUGAAGCGGAUGUUGUUCUAGGCGAGUGUGUUGCUUGUUUGCUAUGUGUUGUACAUCUACGCUUGUCUUUAUAUUGUUAUACUGUAAGUCUCUACUUGCAAUUGUCUCUGUACAUAUCUGUUUGCCUUUAUUUCUGUGUAUGACACUAUGUUUCUGCAAGAGAAAAUAGGCCAGCCCUAUAUAACACACCACUUAGGCAGGGAGUAGUAACAUUUUACUACUUGUACAUGUACUCCUAGUAACAUUUUACUACUCCCUGAUUCUAUUCAAGUAGGUGGGACGCUAUGCAUCGAGCCACUUUAUAUAAAUGUUAUAGUACCAAUCAUGUCAAAAUAUGCAGGACAGAGCCAUGUCAUCCUUUGGGCACUCCAGCACAAUCAGUCAUGUUUACGCAACUACGUCACUCCUCUUUGUUCCUUCAUCUUCUACAAAACUGAAGAUACAUGCAAAGCCACCUUGGAGUUGUGUUGAAAAUGCAUGAUACCUUAGCAAAGUAGUACCAUGGUCCACAACAAGGAGUUUGCGCGACUCCCCAGAACAGCAACUUGGAUGUAGCAGGAAAAGGGCCCGACUUACAAGCGAAUAAUAAUUAGUAUUGUCGCUCUGUUUAGUCAUCAUCAGCAAUUAUGUACAAUGCGCAGUCCAGCCAGACCGAAUAAUGCUCCAAUCACAUACAUACUGUACACAAAUCAUUGUAGCGAGGAAGCUUUAUAAAAAAACCGAAAGAAUACAUGAAUCGUAGCAUUGUUAUCUUAUCAGACACGCAGCAUGGCGCGUCUUUGCACCACCCACAGAACAAGCACAGAACUUGAAAAAAAAAGUUAGACGUGGUUA